GGGGAUGUAGCUCAGCUGGGAGAGCGCUUGCUUCGCAUGUAAGAGGUCGUGGGUUCGAAUCCCAUCAUCUCCACCA
rnacentral:tRNA from 8 species